AGGGAAACAACCCAGACCGUCGGCUAAGGUCCCCAAAUCCUUGUUAAGUGGAAAAGGAUGUGGGGCUGCUUAGACAACUAGGAUGUUGGCUUAGAAGCAGCCAUCAUUUAAAGAGUGCGUAAUAGCUCACUAGUCGAGUGGCCCUGCGCCGAAAAUUUACCGGGGCUAAACAAGGUACCGAAGCCACGGAUAGAACCUUUGGUUCUAUGGUAGGAGAGCGUUCUAAUCAGCAUAGAAGCCUGACUGUGAAGACAGGUGGAGCGAUUAGAAGUGAGAAUGCCGGUAUGAGUAGCGAAAGACAGGUGAGAAUCCUGUCCACCGAAUGACUAAGGUUUCCUGGGGAAGGCUCGUCCUCCCAGGGUUAGUCGGGACCUAAGCUGAGGCCGA
rnacentral:rRNA from 1 species